rnacentral:rRNA from 1 species
GUAAGGGUUAUUGGAUAACCGUGGGAAAUCUAGAGCUAAUACAUGUACUAUUGUGGUUUUGGACCACAACUAUUGCAUUUAUUAGAAUAUUGCCAACCGNUAUUGUAGUGUACUUUGCUAUGAUACGUGAUGAAUCUAGAUAACUGCGCAGAUCGUAUGGCCUUGAGCCGGCGACAUUUCGAUUGAAUUUCUGCCCUAUCAACUUGUCGGCAGUUUAGUGGACUGCCGAGGUUAUUACGGGUAACGGGGGAUCAGGGUUCGAUUCCGGAGAGGGAGCCUGAGAAACGGCUACCACAUCCAAGGAUGGCAGCAGGCGCGCAAAUUACCCAAUCCAGACAAUGGGAGGUGGUGAAGAAAAGUACCGAAUGACGGCCAACGGUUGUCAAUUUGGAAUGGAAACAAUUUAAGAAAUUGGUUUGAGUAACGACUGGAGGGCAAGUCUGGUGCCAGCAGCCGCGGUAAUUCCAGCUCCAGUAGCGUAUCUCAAAGUUGCUGCGCUUAAAACGCUCGUAGUUGGAUCAGAGAGCAUAUAUUANUUGGUGCGACAAAAAAUUUGGAAAGACUUGGUAUGUUAAACAUAUGCAAGAUAGUUUCAGGUUGAUUUGUUGCAACUAAAAGCUAUAUAUGUUAAUUGCAUGUGAGGAUGGUAAUUGACCUUUAGUGAGUUGAUAACCGUGUCUCACAGAGUGUGCCUUGAGUAAAUCNGAGUGCUUAAAGCAAGUAUUUUGCUUGAAUGUUGAUAGCAUGGAACGAACAAUCGUGUAUGGUGUGUGAUAAAUUGAACAUGUAACCCAGUUACAUAGUGUCUAUUAUUACAUGACACCGACCGCCAAUUACGGAUGUUGGUUCCGUAUUGGGGUAAUGAUUAAGAGGAGCGGUUGGGGGCAUUGGUAUUUGGCAGCGAGAGGUGAAAUUCUUGGACCUGCCAAGGACCAACAAAUGCGAAGGCAUCUGUCAAGACCGUAUCCAUUAAUCAAGAACGAAAGUGAGAGGUUCGAAGACGAUCAGAUACCGUCCUAGUUCUCACUGUAAACUAUGCCGACCCGGGAUCAGUUUGGAGCAAUUUUCACGCUCGAGGUUGGUCCCCCUGGGAAACCUAAAGUUUUUCGGUUGCGGGGGGAGUAUGGUCGCAAGGCUGAAACUUAAAGGAAUUGACGGAAGGGCACCACCAGGGGUGGAGCCUGCGGCUUAAUUUGACUCAACACGGGAAAACUUACCUGGUCCGGACAUCAAAAGGAUAAACUGACUAAUAGAUCAUAUUUUGAUAUGAUGAUUGGUGGUGCAUGGCCGUUCUUAGUUCGUGGAGUGAUCUGUCAGGCCUAUCCCGGUAACGAACGAGAGCACAGUUUCCAUUUGACGCGCCAAAGAAAAUGUGUUAUUGCAAGUAUGUUGUCGAAAGAUGACUUUUGUGAUAAUGCAUUGAUGGUAAUGAGGUAAUUGUGCUUGAAUAUGAUUCUAUUGUGGCAACAUGGUAGUUUUGUUGAAGAGCGCAAUAAGCUUUGUUCCCUUUGGUGUAACAAUUUAUUGAUCGACAGAUUGAUGAUUUGUAUCAUGGAGAGACAGCGGAAUAUAUCCAAAUCCGAGGAAG